UUCUUGUCCCCUUCUUCGGGCUAAAUUGGCUAAGAAUGCCUUUUUGGAGCUAAUUGUGUCAUUUCGAGGAUAAUUAGCUAAGUAUAGGUCAUUUUGUAUUAAAUUGGCCAUUUUGGAGCUAACUAAGCUAAUUAUGUCAUUUCGUAGGAUAAUUAGCCAAUUUAGCCUUUCUGGGAUGAGUCUAAGCUACGUAGAAUAAGAGAUAGAGAAGAAGAAGUAAAAUAAGGAGGAGGAGGAGGAGAAGGAGAAGG
rnacentral:lncRNA from 1 species